rnacentral:rRNA from 1 species
GGGUUCUACCGUCGGUCGGGCUACCAAGUUUGUACUGGUGUGUAGAAUUUCUACCUUCUGGGGAACCAUCAUGUUAUUAAUUUAGCGUGGUGGGAAACCAGGACCUUUACCUUGAAAAAAUUAGAGUGUUCAAAGCAGGCUUAUGUCUGAAUACAUUAGCAUGGAAUAAUGAAAUAGGACGUUCGAUCCUAUUUUGUUGGUUUCUGAAUCACCGUAAUGAUUAAUAGGGAUAGUUG